AUGCCCAACAAAAGCCACUGAAGGGAAGCUUACCAGAGUGCCAUCGAGUUCCUUCCCCUAAGGAUCAGACUUCCAGACUCAAGUGUCAUUUGACCUGGUAUCCAGCUUAAUACAGCCUCUGCUUUUGAAUAGAUUUCCUUACAAGUGGCAAUCUCUAAUAGGGUCAUGUCGAGAGGCAACCCGACUGCAUACUAUCUACUGCACGUUAACGUGAUGAAGGUCUCUCCUGAGCACACGGCUUCAUAAACCAGCUGCACAAGCAACUGCAUCUGGGGAUCUGCUUCAAGAGAAACUUACCUAAAGCAAGAAUGGGCUCUAACUUCAGGAUACCUAGGAUUCUAACCUCGUUCCACUACUUAUCAACCAUAUGACCUGGGAAAAAUUAUAUACCUGCUCCCAGCGAAAUGAUGAGAGAGAAAAGAGGGAGAGAAUGAUUCUCAUACCGACGGUUUUAAAUGUGCAAUAACUUUAUGAUUCUUGAGUGAAACUGGCUAUCAAAAUCAGUCCCAACUCAAUACCAUCUGAAAAAGAAGAUCAUUCUUGGAAUAAGAGCCCUUUCGGUCGGAUGUGUCAGAGCCAAUCACAGGCUCCGGGGUCCCGUGGUGACUGCCGGCCGCCACAUACGGUGGGUUCUGAUAAAAAUCACAUCUGAUAAAUUCACUUCUGCUUGCCUGCUUGGCUGGAAAGAAGGUUUUAGUCCAAAAUCAACAAUGAUGAACUGAAAUCUAUCGGGCUGGGAAAUGCUUUUAGCCCUCCCUCUGGGCUGUACCACUUCACUACUUUGCUUCUCCUUUUGCCUUCCCACAUUGUCCCCAAGCCCAAGGAAGCAAAAGGUAGACACUGGGCGGGGCCCUUCCCUCUCUCUGCAGCAGUGGCAGAAGGAGCAUGUCUCCUCACUCCUGAUAUGCCUGGCCUCAUGCUACCUGCAGCCCCUUUGCCGUCUUUUCUUGCCUUGGCUACUGAAAGCAACGUCUCCUGGCACCACAGAAUAUGCAAGGUGAUUUCUCUGCCUUUUCACUUAUGGCAGAAACGCCUUAUGAUAGCACCUUUUUUAUCGUCAUUCCUGUCUUUUUUUGAUGCAUGUGGUGAGGGAGAACAGUCAAAUAAGAAGCCUUUGGAGAAACUUACAAAGGAGCUGUGUGUCAUGGCAGAGAUGGCUGAUUGCAAUGAUUUAACUGUGAGCCUUUGUAUCCACCCUCAUGCUCUUACUCACUCUCACAUCCUCAUACUUCCACAUCCUGAGCCCCAAAAUGACUUUCUUUCUUUUUUCUCUGGGAACGGAGCCUGGGUCUGGACCAGGGAGUGGCCAGCCACAAAGAGAAUAUUUUGGAGGUGUAUCCGGUCCUCACAGUGGUAAGCUGGGCAGCCAAAGCAGUGAACAAUCUCUUCUGUUUAUGCUGGGGUGGGAGGGAAGAUGAACCAUUUGAAAUGAUGCACAGUUAUAGAGUUCAUGCCCUGGCCAGAUUUUUCCCAGUCUCAUUCUAGCAUCAGAGAGGAUCAGAUUUACAAGCAAACCUAAAAGUCGGGCAGGCUUGAAAAAAGGGAGGCAAAUGGGAAGGAAUCCUGAUGUUGUUUCACUUAUUUUGCUGAAUUCCCACCCACCUUCAGCUGUCCCAUUAAGGAAUGAACACAUUCCAAAGAGAAAGGCAAGAACAUGGACCUGCUAAUGAUCAUUUUGGAUACAGAAAACUGAUAGGAAAGACUUGUGCAAGUCUGGCUUGAAAUAGUACUGGAUCCUGGAACCACUGUCUUUAGGAACCAAUCAUGAUGAACCCCGUAUACCUGCAGCCACAUUUGUUAUCAAGCGUGGAGCCUGUCCCCUGGUUCCUGCAUUAGGCUUCACUUUCCAACCUAUAAUUGCAUUCGUCCAGAUACUUUGCCUUACAUUUUUAAUUCCACAUUUAAUGUGGACCAGAGGCUCUCUUCUUUUGGUAACAUAGAAUAUCUACCAUUGCUACUUCUGGUUCCUCAGGAACUUGAGAACAUACCCCUCUAGUGCUGAGCAGUGUGGCUACUAUUCACUCUAGGGGUAACCCUGACUCUGAGAAUGGGAAAAAUAUACAUAAGUUUAUAAACAAACCUCUAUGAACCAUUGAUCCAAUAAAUGACCAAAAUGAUU